CCAAGUUCAAAACAUUCACGUCCACUCUGUUUCUCCUGCAGAGAACACGAGAUGGAAGACAGGGCAAAAGCUGCACCGCGUUUGCCAGCAGGAUUUGAAGUCGAAGCCCAUCACCGGAGGAAUUGUCGAUCAUUACUUGUAGCUGAAGGAACGAGCUACUUGGCAGUACUCCGAUCGCUCAUGGCUUCUAACCGGAGCAUGCAGGCAAGGGUGAUGCAUGAAUAUCACCUAAAUACCAGUCCUCUUUAGUACACUUCAGGAGGCCAGUGAUAUCGUUCUUGGCCUUUUGGAUGUAUGCAGAAUGAGAAGACGAUCUAUGUAUCUCUAAUACUUUGUUGAAUCAAGACCGAUCCAAGCGAAUGAAGACACUUGCGAAGCCAUAUUCAAGUUAGGUUUCUACGUGCUUAAUGUGGAUUCACGAUAAGCUUCGUGUAUUAGAAAUAAAAUCUUCUUUCUUACUGAGAAGUCCUUUCACUUGAAUUUGCUGUAUUUAUCUUUUCGGAGCUCGUGGUCCAUCCAAAUUCCAUGUAUGAUGGCCAGAUUUAUGACCUUUUAUUGGAAGGAUGGCUCGUCCGAAACAUAAAUAACCAGCUAGAAGUGUAAGUGGACUCUACUUAAUGGAAGUAGUAACUGGAAAAAGAGUACAUUAAAUUUUUGCUCUAUUAAUUUGCUUUGCCUCUUUACUGAGUGUGAGUUUGCCUCUUUACUGAGUGUGAGAGUUGAACUUCAUAUUUAGGAAUAUAUUUUUUAAAUUAUUCAUUUUUUAUGAAAUAAAUGGAGUCUUAAUACCUUAUAAUACUCUUCUAGCAUCACUUUUAAACUACUUUUAUAAUUUAAUUUUGUAUACUCGCCGUUGGUCCUUUGAUUUGAGUACAUUCUAAAAGUGCUUCUUCUAAACUCUAGAAUGUAAAAAUGUGGGGUAUUCAUAGGGAUGAGGGAAGAAAAAAAUUCUCAUUAAUUGGGAAGGGCAUAACGUACGGAUACUGACACGUUAAAAUAAGGAACGCAUCCAGAUUGGUACUAAGUUAUCUAACUACCGUUGAAAGCUUUUAUCGAGAGCUUGCUUUAUGCUAGUUAGACACGUGCUUCUCGUAGUUUCUAGAAUCGGCACAUCUAACCAGGAAAAUAAAUGGGUAUGACGUCAUUGACAAAGAUGGAGAAAAUAAAAAAUGAUAGGUAAAGUAACCACCAGAAAAAUUGGGGAAAGGUCUAAAAAAGUAAGCCAUCAACUUCCACAGCAAGUUCUUGAUAAAAAAGAACUUCCACAGCAAGUGGUCGGACUUGAGAAAUUAGUCCAACGAAUAAACAGAAGCCAGACAAUACAACUUCCCAUGCAAGGUAAAGCAAAGCCCGUCAGUCGAAGCUCAGGCAGGACACCAACUCGAAGCAAGUGCAGUAUAAAUUCAUCUUCUCACGCAGGUUGAACAUCAAAGAUAUCUCCAGACAAGUCCGAAACAUUCAUGUCCGCUCUGUUUCUCCUGCAGAGCACACGAGAUGGAAGACAGCGCGGUAGCUGCGCAGCAUUUGCCAGCGGGAUUUGGAGUCAAAGCCAGUCACCAGUGGAAUCUUCCAUCAUUACUUGAAGCUAAAAGAGCGAGCUCCGUGGCGGUACCCCAAUCACUCCUGGUUUCUAUCAGGAACAAACGAGCAAGGAUCACCACCUAAAGGCCGAUCCUCUUUAGUACACUUCUGGAGGCCAGAGAUAUUGUUCUUGACCUUUUGAAGAUAUGCGAAAUGAGAAGACGAUCCACGUAUUUCUGAUACGUUGCUGAAUCAAGACCGAUCCAAGCGAAUGAAGACACUCGAGAAGCCGUAGUCAAGUUGGGUUUUCACGUGCUUGAUGUGGAUUCACGAUAAUCUUCGUGUAUUAUAAAUAAAAUCUUCUUUCUUAUUGAGAAGUCUUUUCAUUUUAA